AUCACUAUAAACAUACGCCGGAAUACUGCAAACCCACAUCGACUGGAAGCAAAUCAUCAUAGAGUCAUUGUCGAUGGAAAAUUCACCAACAAAUCCUCCCUAUCCUCUGACUCCUCUCUCUAUCUCUGUCUCCUUUCUCUCAUCUUUCUCUCCCACACAACACACACAAACAUACAUCAAUUUCAAUAUCUAUUCCUUCUGAAUCAAAAUUGUUUUCCAUUAUGUUGCCGACAUCCAUUUAUUUUGAUAACAAUGGAAGCAUGAAAUUGGAUCUCCAACGAUAUCAGCUUCCAUCAUUUAAAAUGUUGACCGUGAAUUCCAGGAUGAACAACUCACUCAUUGCUUGGAGGAUGCAAAAAAGGUAAACUUCAGUUUUUGUUCUUUUAUCUGAUUCUUCCUGAAUCUAUUAAAUUCAUUUAUGAAUUUCAUAAAUCGGUAUCAGAUUCUAUGUUUUUUUUUUCAAGUCUAUUUUGCUUAUGUGAUUUGCGGGUUAGUGUUUCUUGGUUGUUAUAAUGGUUGAUUUUUUUUUUUUUUUUUUUAUUAUCGAAAUGAAUUGAAGUCGAUUAAGUUGAAUUAUGUAUGUAUGUGGUGUUUAGUGUUGGCUAUUCACAAGCCUGCAAUCUGUGAUUAGCAACAGAACAGUAACAGGGGCAAAGAAGGAAAGAAAAAUACUGCACAAUGCUUCUGGGAUGGAAGGCUUUUAUUCACUGAAUUGAAAGUGAAAGAGAUACAAAAUAACGUUACAAUGCCUGAGGUUAUAAAGGAAAACAAAGCGUGAAAACAGGAAACUAAUUCCACUACUCUUGAGACUCGGACUAACAAUGACCAAGUCUCACUUAUUCAAAUGCAGAAAAUUAAACGUGCUAAUAAUUCUAAAUUACUACUACAUUCUCCCCUGUAAUUUAGAAUUUUCAUACCUUCUCCACGCCAAUUGAACUUCUCAUCUCUUCAAACAUCAGUCUUCCUAAUGCUUUUGUCAAAAUGUCAGCUUUCUGUGCCCUGCUGCAUACAUGUUUGACUGUGAUCUCACCAUUUUCAAUGCACUCACGAAUGAAAUGAAAACGGAUGUCUAUAUGUUUGCUUCUCCCAUGAAAAACAGGGUUCUUCAUCAAUUCGAGUGAAGACCUGUUAUCAACCUUCAUCUCUACUGGGGGUACUUGUUGUCCUGUGAUUUCACUCACCAAUCUUCUUAGCCAAAUCCCUUGGCAAGCUGCCAUGGUAGCUGCCAUAAACUCUGCUUCACAGGAAGAGAGUGCAACACAUCUUUGCUUUUGAGAUGCCCAAGUUAUCAAAUUUCCAUUGAUGUAGUAUGCCAUGCCACCUGUACUCUUCCUAUCAUUAACAUCUUUUGCCAAAUCACUAUCUGUGUAACCAGUUAAGCUGACCCUUUUAUCUCCUCUUGAAUACUUCAGACCAUGGCUCAGAGUACCCUUCACAUACCUCAGUAUACCCUUUACAGCUUGGAGAUGUUUGACAUUUGGCUUUUCCAUGAAUCUACUUACAAUACCCACAGCAAAUGUAAUGUCAGGACGGGUAUGGGUCAAGUACCUUAGGCCACCAACAAGACUUCUGUACUCUGUGGGAUUUACCAGCUCACAUCCAUCUUCUUCUUUGAGCAAUUUCAGCUUGUGCUCCAUUGGUGUUUUUGCAGGAUUGCAGUCUUGCAUACCCGUUUUGGCUAACAGAAUCUUGGCAUAAGACUCUUGCUUCAAUGUGAUCCCUUCACCUUUCUGGUUCACCUCUAUUCCCAGAUAGUAGGUCAAAAACCCCAAAUCGCUCAUCUCAAAUUGGUCACUCAUAUCCUUUUUGAAUCUCUGAAUAUCUUCAUGAUUGCUCCCCGUUACUAGCAGAUCGUCUACAUACACUCCUAUAAUCAGAGUGUCUCCCUUCAUCUUCUUUGUGUAGACAGAGUAUUCAUGGGCACACCUGGUAAAACCUAGUUUCUUCAAGUGAUGAUCCAGACACGAGUUCCAUGCCCUCGGGGCUUGUUUGAGUCCGUAAAGGGCUUUGGAGAGUUUGUAAACCUUUUGAGGUUCACCCUUCUUCUGAUAGCCCUCUGGUUGAGAGACGUAUACUUCCUCUUUUAACUCUCCAUUCAAAAAUGCCGAUUUUACGUCUAGAUGGUGUACCUUCCACCCAUUUGAGCCGGCAAGUGCUAGAAUUAACCGAAUUGUAUCGAUUCUUGCCACUGGUGCGUAUACUUCGCUGUAAUCGAUUCCAUGUUGUUGAACAUAUCCUUUCGCGACAAUUCUAGAUUUGUGUUUGACUAUAUUGCCUUCUGGAUCCCGUUUGAGCUUGAACACCCACUUUAAGCCAAUCGCCUUUCGAUUUUUCGGUAAAUCAACUAACUUCCACGUAUUGUUUUUCUCAAUCGAGCUUAACUCAGCGUUCAUAGCCUCUCGCCACUCCAAUUUCUUGCUAGCUUCGUUGUAAGAGGUGGGUUCCUCAUUACUUUGCAUCAUGAGAAGUUCUUCGACUGGGAUGUGUACUUCUUCUGUGUUCUCGUAUAAAUCAGACAGCAAUCUAUAUCUUUUAGGAGCGCCACCACCGGUAGAAGAUGAGGCUGUACUCCCGAUCGAUGAAUUUGGUGAAGUGUUUGUCGAAUUUGGGGAAUUUGGGAUAACUGGUGAGUUUAUAGGGGUAUUCAUCGGGCUUAAAGUUGGGUGACCCGACGAACUUGUCUCUUCACUGCUAGACCCGUUUUGUGGUGACCCGUAUUCAAAUUCACCCAAAUUCGGAUCCCAAUUUUCUUCAUCCUCUUGAAAUUCUUCAGUGAGAUCAAAUCCAUCAACUGUGAAGCUGAUACCAGAAUGUGCUCUUUCUCUUCCUCCUUCAUUCCAAUUCCAUCCACGAUCCUCUUCGAACACCACAUCACGACUUAUAUAGAUUUUCCCGGUUUCCGGAUUCAAUAAUCUGUACGCCUUUGAUCCUUUUUCAACUCCAAGAUGGACAAGUCGCAUGCUUCUGUCUUCCAACUUUUUUAAAUGGUUCUUUGCAAUCUUCAUAUGAGCCAAGCAACCAAACACUCUGAGAUGAUCAAUGUUUGGUUUUCUUCCUGUCCACAUUUCGAAUGGAGUUGAAUCCUUUAACGCCUUGGUGUGUGCUCUGUUUAAUACAUAAACAGAGUGUGAAACUGCUUCACCCCAUAACUCGUCUGGCAUCUUCAAUGUCUUCAAGUUGCAUCUCACCAUUUCAAGAACAGUUCGAUUUCUUCUUUCUACCACCCCGUUUUGCUGGGGUGAGUACGGAGUCGUGUAGUGCCUUGUUAAACCAGUUUCUUUGCAAUACCUAGUGAAUUCGUUUGACAAGAACUCACCACCCCGAUCCGUUCUGAAAACUUUGAUUUUCUCCCCUGUUUCAGUUUCCACCAUGUUUCUAAACACCUUGAACAUCUCUAGGGCCUCGUCCUUCGUCUUCAUGAGAUAGACCCACAUCACCCUGCUGAAGUCAUCUACAAUCAGCAUAAAGUAUCUAUUUCCUGAUGGUGUGGGUGGAGACACUGGCCCACAUAGAUCUCCAUGAAUGAGUUCAAGUCUUUUCUUUGCUCUAAAUGACGCAUGUAGUGGAAACGGGUUCCUUGUCUGUUUUCCCAGUAAGCAACCUUCGCAUGGUUGGAAGGGAAUGUUGAUUUUUGGGAGCCCAACGAUCAGAUUUUUCUCUUCCAUUUGCUUCAUUGAAUUGAAGUUGAUGUGGCCCAACCGUUUGUGCCAUAGCCAUAACAGGUCAUCAACUUCUACAGAGAGACACACACCAGCAAACUCUUCAAGCUCGAUCUUAUAGAGUCUAUUUGCUGAUCGUUGAACCUUCAUUAACAGUUUCUCAAAUGAAUCAUAGACCCAUAGAAACGAGCCCUUCAUUUUGAUUUCAUCUCCACCUUCUGCUAAUUGCCCUAAACUGAUGAUGUUACUACAUAAAUCUGGAAUGUAGUAGACCUCAUCAAGUUUACGUUGACUGCCAUCCUUACAUUUGAACACAAUUGAGCCUUUACCCUCAAUUCUGACUCGUGAUUCAUUACCAAACUUCACAUAACCACGAAUUGAUUCAUCUAAAUUCCUAAAUUUUGACUUAUCGCCUGUCAUGUGAUUGCUAGCACCUGUAUCUAAAUACCAAAUACGAGAGGGUCUUCGAGUAUUACCAUUUGAUUGCAGUUGUGGGCUCAGAUUUUCUUCAUUCAGAAAUACUCUUUUUUCUUCUCCGAACUCCAUUAGUAAUAGGGCUGGCUCAUCAUCGUGUUGUUCUUGAAUCAGGUUGAUUUCAUGAUUCCGUUCCUUUCGAGGAUUCUUACACUCUGCUGCGUAGUGACCGUACUCCUGACAAUUGUAACAUUGUAUGUCACUCUUGUCGCGACUGCUUGAGGCAUUUGAAUUACCUUCCUUCUGUUGAUUUGAGCCGCCUUUGCCUCGACCACCCCGGCCACCGCCGUUUCUUCCUCUGCCUCUACCGCGACCCCCACGCGACCCAUUCGAGCCACCUCGAUUCCACUUUUGUUGUUUCGAGUCUCCCUCGGCCUUUUUCUUGUAUUUCUCAGUCCACUCUUUGUGGGUUAACAACAACUUUCGAUCGUCACCAUCCCCGCGACCUUUCAUUCUUUCUUCAUAUGCCUUAAGCCUACCAACUACUUCCUCGACGGACAUAGAUUCCAAAUCUCCAAAUUGCUCAAGUGUUGAGGCAAUCUGGACGAAUUUGGAUGAUACAGCUCUAAGUAAUUUCUUCACUACCUGAGCUUCUUCAAUCUUAUCUCCCAGGGUGCGUAGAGUACUCACAGUGUUGAUCACUUUCCCAGUGAAAUCAUCAACGCAUUCCGUCUCUUUCAUGCUUAACGCUUCAAGUUCAGCCUUCAACGUCUGAAUUCUGGCCACCUUCACUCUAUCGGCCCCUACAAACAUAACUUUGAGAGCAUCCCAAGCUUCCUUGGCAGUCUUCUUCUCCGCCAAUGUCAUGAGCAGGUCCUCGGUAUUCCCUGAUAAAUGGCAGCCAAUGCCAUGUUAUCCUUCUUUGUUUCAACGAGGGUCUUGGGUGUUCUGGGUUCUACAGCAUCCCAAACACCUUGGGCCAACAUGAAGACCCUCAUCUUAAUUGCCCAUGCACUGUAAUUGCUUCUAGUCAACAUCGGAUAGUGUAGGUUGAUUUGCCCAUCUUUGUCACCACUCCCAUUGCUGCCAAUGCCUGCCAUUUCUUCUGUUCUAGGCUGAUAUUUGGGCAUGUACCAGGUUAGCUCUGAUACCAAAUGUUGGCUAUUCACAAGCCUGCAAUCUGUGAUUAGCAACAAAACAGUAACAGGGGCAAAGAAGGAAAGAAAAAUACUGCAUAAUGCUUCUGGGAUGGAAGGCUUUUAUUCACUGAAUUGAAAGUGAAAGAGAUACAAAAUAACGUUACAAUGCCUGAGGUUAUAAAGGAAAACAAAGCGUGAAAACAGGAAACUAAUUCCACUACUCUUGAGACUCGGACUAACAAUGACCAAGUCUCACUUAUUCAAAUGCAGAAAAUUAAACGUGCUAAUAAUUCUAAAUUACUACUACAUUUAGUACUUUUUGUUAAAUUUAUUUGUUUAAUCAUAAAAGUGGAAUAAGUCAAAUUUAUCACUUCAAUUUUCAUCAUAGAUGGAACUUUGAUGAUAAAGAUAUUAGUUUCAUUUGGGAGGUUUUAGGCGACUGCUAAGAGAUAAAGAAAUCAAUAAACUAGCAUUUGAUUACUUAUAGAUUUUAUUAUUCUUUUUAUAUAAUUAAUUAGCAGAAUAAACAAAAAGCUUUUUCGUCAUGUAAUUAAUCUAUAAAUAGAACUUAAAUCCAUUAGCUCACCACGACAUGACAAAAUGUUUUCUAAUGGUGUUAUAGAAUGUGAAUUACAAACCCAUGGAUUAAGGAAAAAAGAACAUAUUCCUUCAAGAAUCAAUUUAUUGUGCCCUUUUAUUUUUGUAUAUUUAAUUAUUGAAUUGUCUAUUACUUACUUUUGUGUGCUUGUUUUGUGAUGUAUUAUGCUAUCGAAUGUGCUAUGGUUGGUUAUGCUUUCUAAUGGUCAUUUGCAACUUGCAGGCGUGUUCCUUGUUGAUACAUUUCAUCUAUGAGGAAAAAUUAUAUAUGUGGAAGGCCUAGUCGGACAUUUGUUAUGAGAUUUUUUGUUGGUAUGGAUAUUGUAAUUCCUUUUUUUAUAGUGAGUGUUUUUAAAAGCUAAUUUAGUAUUUUGACCAUUUUGUCAUUUCAUAAUGAGUUUCAUUCUUUGGUUUGUUUCAUUUUAGAGUAAUGGAAUUUAUUUGAUUUACCUCAUGAAUGUUAUUUGAAACCUUCAAAUAUUCUUGCAGAAUGACGAAGACUUUAGAACGUGGAAGACCAAUAUUCUUUCAGAAUAAGGAAAAUGGCAAUAUUCUUUGCUUCUCAUACAAAAUUCUUUGGUAAUGACCAUGUGUUAUACAUUAUGUCUCACUAAAGUUUAAGGAUAUUUAUUAUAGGAUUUUGAUAACGUAUAUUUUUUUUUGGCAGAAACAUGAGCAUUGCAUAUAUUAGAUGUUGGAGAUAAAUAUGGUCUAACAGAAUGAUAUUCUUACAGAAUAUAGUUCUUGCCCGAUGUUAGUCUCACAAAAUGUCAUUCUCGUAAGGAUAAUUAAAAUCAAGUUGAAUGUGGACCAUUAAAGAAGAUCAAGCACAUUUCUUAAAGAACUAUUUAUUUAAGAAGGCUAUGAUUUUUAAGAAUUUAUUUCAUUUUUAUGACAAUCUGUUAGAAUAUGUAUAAUUUUAUUAAAAUGUAUAAAACUAUUAUUCUGUAAGAAUAUAUAUGAAUCUAUAUUCAAAUAUCC
rnacentral:lncRNA from 1 species